GGUCUUGGCCUAGUGGUUAAGGCAUCUGAGUAACACCUUGAUGUCCUGGGUUUGACUCCCGGUGGGAACG